AUUGAACGCUAGCGGGAUGCCUUACACAUGCAAGUCGAACGGACUGCAGAACGGGUGCGUAUUGUAACGGAAUGUGCCCAGUAGCGGGGGCUCACUACGCCUACGCGAAGCUAAUACCGCUUACUAUUGGAGUGGCCGCUACCGAAUUAGGUAGGUGGUGGGGUAACGGUUCACCAAGGCCACGAUCCGUAGCUGGUUUGAGAGGAAGACCAGCCACACUGGGACUGAGACACGGCCCAGACUCCUACGGGAGGCAGCAGUGGGGAAUUUUGGACAAUGGGGGAAACCCUGAUCCAGCCAUCCCGCGUGUGCGAUGAAGGCCUUCGGGUUGUAAAGCACUUUUGGCAGGAAAGCGGUACCUGCAGAAUAAGCACCGGCUAACUACGUGCCAGCCGCCGCGGUAAUAC
rnacentral:rRNA from 1 species